rnacentral:rRNA from 1 species
GGAAUAUUGGACAAUGGGCGCAAGCCUGAUCCAGCAAUGCCGCGUGUGUGAAGAAGGCCUGCGGGUUGUAAAGCACUUUCAGUAGGGACGAAACUCUGAGGGCUAAUAUCCCUCGGCCUGACUUAACCUACAGAAGAAGCACCGGCUAACUCCGUUCCAGCAGCCGCGGUAAUACGGAGGGUGCGAGCGUUAAUCGGAAUUACUGGGCGUAAAGGGCGCGUAGGUGGUUCGGUAAGUCAGAUGUGAAAUCCCUGGGCUUAACCUGGGAAUUGCAUUUGAUACUGCCGGACUGGAGUGUGGUACAGGUAAGCGGAAUUCCCGGUGUAGCGGUGAAAUGCGUAGAUAUCGGGAGGAACAUCAGUGGCGAAGGCGGCUUAAUGGACCAACACUGACACUGAGGCGCGAAAGCGUGGGUAGCA